UUACAUUAAGUAGACGUCAUAUACGGAAAUAUAAAAAAACCAUACCCACCAACUUAGAUACAUAUUUGUAUGUGGCGAAUUUGCAGUUUUGUUUAACUGCUGUGAGGAAACCAGUAUAGACAUAAAAUAAUGGCCUUGGUAUAUUUUAUUAUCCCUGUUAGUUCGUUAACUGUAAUAUUAGAUUUAACCUGGUAUUCAGUAUUAUUUUAAAAGCGCCUUUCACAAUUUGCAUCGUUGCAAAGCAGCUUGACCAAAAUAACAGUUAUAUUUUAACACAAAAGCAAUAGAGACGGGAAGAAAAAAUAGGAAAUUGUUUAAAACCUGGAAAAUGAUUAAAAAUAGCAGUACAUCAUAGGAUGUUGAAUUUUACAUAUUAAAACUGUAAAAGAGGUGCAGUAAGAUGCGGAAGUGCAUUAUUCAGGGCCGCCGUGGUGUUGUUACCGGCAUAUCUAUGGUUACCGGUCUCGUGAAGCGUGUUUCUGUCACCAGGGUAACUGCUCGUGUCGUCAUCUCAUUAGUACACUCAUGUUUCUUUUCAGAGCGUAUAAAUCUUUCGCCUUUUACUAAAGAUUUCCGUGGGGAGGAACACUAUGAGUAUAAACUAAUUUUUCGAUGCCCUGCUACACAGCGGGGCUUCUCUAAAUGGUUAAAGUAAGAGUUUGUGAUGUUAUCUGUGAAGUGAUUAACGUGCUGAAUGUUAUGUGUUGUAGAUUGUUAUGUUUGUGAUGUGUAAUUUGCUAUAAAUAACAAUAGAAGUGUUUCGCUGGGGUUCUGAUAUUUUGUGCUAUAAUUAGUUUGCGCAGCCCUUACUUUAGGACGUUACGAUUUGGGUUGGAGGAGGGAUCUGUUAGAAUGCACAGAAUCUCACGAGAUACGCCAUGGGCGUGAACUGUAUGACGUCACACGCACAUUUUUAAACAUAUCAAUAAUCCUAACACAUUAUAUUAUUUGCUUGGAUUCAGUAACUGUAAUGCUUUUCCCAGAAGCCGAGUUUUCGUCGUGUUGUUACUGGUCUCGUGAUGUAGCGUGUUUCUGUCACCCGGGGACCUGCUCGUGCUCGUGCUCUGGCGUCAUCACAACAAUACGCUCAUGUUUCGCUUCAGAUCGUAUAAAUCUUUCGCCUUUUACUUAAUAUUUCCAUGGGGAGGAACACCACGAGUAUAAUUUUUUUAACGCCCUGCUGAAUGGCGGGGCUUCCUUUUGGAGCAAAAAUUAGAUUUAACGUAUGUCACUUGAUGACGUAGUUAUGGUGUUAAGAGAAGUUGUGGGUGUUUUUUGGACCAUCGGGAAAUUUAAAGUCGCCAUUUUACUCUGGGAUAGAAAAGAAGUUUGUUCAUUUUACUAAAAGGAUUAUCACCUCAUCGAUCAAAGUUUUGGAUGAAAGCUGAGCUGUGUGAGAAUUAUGACCCAUUAAAACAAACAUACAGGUUUGUUCAAUAAAGUUCAAUUUUAUUUCUGUAGUACUUUUCACAGUUUUUAUCUGUUGCAAAAAUAUUUACAUCAGUAUAGAUAGAUGUAGAUUUGGAGGAAGAAAAUAUAGAAAACAUACAGCAUAUGGAAUAAAUGGUAUUAUGCAAUAUUCUCAAUACAAUGUACUUUGACGAAACCAAAGUGGUUUAAGUUUGUAUUUUAAUUUUCUGUUAGUAAAUGUUUUUCAUGGGUUUAUAUUAAAAUCAGGGUGAGGUGAACGUUAAACGAUAGUGAAAGAAAGUAAGACAGUUUUCCGCUGAAAAACCCCAUUCUAAUAGUAAAAUAGAGGCCAGGCCCCGGUUGCAUAAAGCACCUUAAGUUUUUCCCUUAAGUAUGACACUUAAGGGGUGAUUUUCCUUUACCAAAGACAAUAGGAGAAUAACUUUAGUAAAACUUAAGGUAUACUUAAGGACACACUUAAGGGAAAAUUACACUUAAGGUGCUUUAUGCAACCGGGCCCAGGCCCUUUUCUGUUUAUGAUUUACACAGUGGCCACAAGCCGAUGCGCUUGCAAUCAAGAUAACAGGAAAUUUCAAACGUUGCUUCCCAGGUCGGUUGGCAUGGAAACAUUCCACAUGGUUUGUACCUGCGCACAGCGGCUGCCUCUGAGUGCACAUGAGUACUCUUGUUCUUCACAGUCUUUGAAUUGGGGUUUGACCUUUGCACCUAUUAUUUUCCACACCAGCGUCAAACACACGCAUGGUUUCAUCUUGAAGGAAAACAAAAAGUCUUGUUGAGAAAAACACUUUCCUUUGUGUAUUCUUGUAGAGAUUUGACGGAAAUGGAUAUGAGCGUUUAAUUUCACCCCAAUCCUGUUCUGCCUGAACCUUGUGUUGUAUUUGUCAUAUUGUUUUCUUAUGAAUUUCAGAGUAAAUCUUGUGAAACUUAUAAUUUAUUACAAAAUCAAAAGACAAAAAAUUACAACAUAUUUUUCUUUUAGAAAUGGAAGCCCAGCUAUAUUUUUCAUGGCAGUUUAGUAAAUUUCCUCCUAUAAAUUAUAAAUGUUUAUUUUCUUUAGUUUUUAAGGGGCGAAAAUGUUUUGUAUUGUUUAACAUGAAUAUUUAAUGGAAUUUUAAAUUAUUUUCACCUAUUGUUUUUAUUUUGUCUAGUUGAAUAUUUUAAUCAAAUAAUUUUUUGUGUAGCCUUGAUGUUCGCUAUAUGGUUGCUAAGGUGUUGCUAGGUGCUAGUUUACUUACCUAAGGCUAUGAUGUUCUGACUCAAGCAACAAUAAUGUUUUUCAUUUAAAAGCUUCAUAGCAUUUAUUUGUGAAUUCAUGCAAUGUACAUUGUUUUAUUUCCAAACAGAAACGCGUGAUUUGUUUUCCAAUGCAGUACCAACAGGACCUUGAGGAGGCGCCAGACUGCCAAACACAUUUGACUUGAAUAUUCAGAGAAAUGCUAAUAGCUGCAGAUGUGGACCGUGCGAGUUAAAGGUGGCAGGCUGAAUUAAAACCCGAAGGGCGUUUCUGAACUCCGCUGUGAAAAGAAACAUGCAAAUAGGAUAGAAGUUAAGAGUCAGUCACGAUAAGACGAUCAGCCGAGGCAGAGCUAAUCGAAUAUUCCACACCAUCUCCUGCGCUCACAGGGAAUGAAGGGGAAAAGUCAAGCAGACUCUGUUGUGUGUGUUUGUAUGUUCAUAUACUAUAUAUGUCAGAAAGGGUUAACAGCUUGAAGCUGUAAAGUUCUGAUGUACCCGCAUGCUUGUGGAAGUUGUGUGGCCUUGUGAGAUCAAGUAUUAUGCAAAGUAUUCUGUCCCUUUUCCAUUCUGGGAGUUAUUAGCAUUACAAGUGUCUCAGAUCAUCUGUAUUAAACACACACUGCUGUUCAAAAGUUUAGGGUCACUUACUCUUUAAACCUUUUUCUACUUUUUAGAACAAUACACUUACUUUCACAAAGAGACGAACUCGACACCAACGGGUGGGUUAUAAAUGAAUCUAUGUUGGGUCGUUUUAACCCACUAUUGUUUUUUUUAGUUAGGGUUAGGGUGUUCAUCGGAACAAAGACAUUUACAAAGAUUUGCAACAACUCGAGGGUGAGUAAAUGAUGACAGAACUUUUAUUUUUGGGUGAGCUGUCCCUUAACUUAACCCAAUGGUUGGGUUUGUCCUCUUUUGACCCAACCAUUCGUUGAAUUAUGUUGUAACUAAAGAAAAUCGAAAUAAAUGACUUUUAGCAUCUUCAGUCGUCUUUUGUCCAGAAUUUGCAGAAAUGUGUUCAUUUUAUGCAAGUAAGCUGCAAACUCAAUUUUACACGAUUUUCAUUCGGUGAUGUACAGUAUGUUAGCAGGGCUGUGUAUUGGCAAGGGCUUUGCGAUAUGAUACAUAUCACGAACAAUAUAUUGCAAUAAAUUUAGAUACAAAAAAUAUUGCAAUUUUAUUGCAAAAAACGUAAGAAGAAAAUAAAGCUGAAAAUACAACUUGCUGUGGACCACCUGGGGUAUUUUUUAACAUCCCACCAAUAGAAUCCAUCACAUGUCAGUAGGCUCGAUUAUAGUUUCAAUUAAAACCAAUACAAUUUCCAUUGUAACCUACAGCUCAGGAAGCUGGAGCGGCAUGCUCGCUCAUGCUUGAGACAAUGGCCGUGUGUACUGUGAUGUUAAAACAUGAUUUAAAAAAUGCAUUAAUAGUAGAGGUUAGACUUUCGAUACACUAUCAUUUAAAAAAAAUAUUGCGAUUAGUUUUCUGUAUCUAUAUUUUUGCACAGCCCUAUUACCAAGUAGUCGAGUAUGUCUUCAGCUUCUUGAUCAACAUGUCCGUGUGAAAUGGUUAAAUAUCACAUCUAGUUCAAAGUUGACUGAUAUUUGAACAUGUGAACCAACUCAAAGUGACUCUGGAUUAUGGCAGCAGUAAAUCUCUGAGAGUUUCUUAUGUGUCCACUUGAGCCUUUUGCUAAACACCGAGGUGAAGCUGAAUUACUCUGGAGUGCAGAAAGAUCAGCGAGUGACAUUUAACAACAUUCAGAGUGAACUCCUGCCCGCUCCUCUUUAAAUGAGCACAGCCGACUGGAGUCAUCUCUCCUCUACCAUUAAACAUCAGCGGAAGGACAUGGGAUGUUCAGAAAUGACCUCCAGAUGUCUUCUAGUGUCACGGACGAUUUAAACUGUCGCCUUGAUUUCACUUGAAGUGUCAUAUCGAGGUUUCAAAGAUUUAUUUUUCUAUAAAUUUGACCUAAAGGGAUAGUUCACCUAGAAAUACAAAUUCUGUCAGCUUUUGUUUACUCUCAUGUCAUUCUAAACCCUUUGUCUGAAAUGUUUCGGUGGUUUUGUUUCCAUACAAUGGAAGUCAAUGGGGUUCAAUGUAGUUUGGUUAUCGACGUUCUUUAAAAUAUCGUGUGUUCUGCAGAAGAAACUCGUACAGGUUUGAAUUGACACGAGGAUGAGUAAUUGGUGAAAGAUUUUUCCACUUCCCCUCCGAAUAACCAAGACAUUUAAGGUUAGUCAUUAAAAGAAACUUUGCUUUUGUGAACGUUGAUCUGAGAUGAUAAGUCUGAAAUCGUGCCCUCGGUUACAUAGGUCACUCACGCAGAGCUUCUUCUGUACGAAUUCACGUUCAUUUUUCAGCAGGUAUGAGACGGCCAUCUGAUUCACAGACUGUUUUUCAGCUGGUUGAAAUCAGAUCAGAUCAAAGUCGCUGCCCUUUUCUUUCUGUCAGACGGCAUCGGUGCGAGUUGUUUAAUUUCAACCGCCUUCUCUUACUCAAACUGUCGCUUCUCGUUUCUGACAGACAAACUGAGGCAGGCAAAUUGAAAAGGUCUUCAUUCAUGUGUGAAUCUAAAGUUCACUUUCAAUUCUGUUCCACAGGUGCGUCUCUUCAGUUCUGACACGCUGAGAUGUGCAUCAGCGGACCGCAUCUUAUCUGCGCUGGAAGCGUUGAAACGCCAAUGUUUCUAGAACACGAACCGGUCGACUGAGAACUUGAUGUUCAACAUAUAAGCAAGAUAUCUGUAUUUCAGAUAAACUGAUCAUAUGUUUACAUUUUGUGUGUUGUUUUAUCAUACAAAGUCAGACAUACAUUUUUUAAAGGUGUUUAUCCCAUCAAGGAUCUCUUGAAUCUUCAACACCGAGAGCUAAUCUGCCUUGUACCUGUGAUGGGCAUGUGCUGCCAUCAUUGAGAUCAUCGUCGCCUGUGUCUCUGCAUUUUCUGAGUAAUAAUAACAGUUAAGUACUGGAGAGCAGGGGUUCUGUGGCCCCUUAAGAGUGAACACGAGUAGAACGCACACUCUGUAGUGAGCUGUAUGUGUGCGGGUAAACCAAUGUAGGUUUUCUUUUGUGCCACUUCAGUUUUUUUGUCUGUGUCUUGAUUUCAUAACCUCCACUUAAUAAAUGGCUGUCUGUCUAAUGCAUUUAAAUGACAAAUGGGAUGCCAUUAAGAACUCUCAAUCCCUGUGCGUUACAGCCUCCAAGGAUCAUAGGAGUUUAGAAUUGAACAUUGUUUUGCUAAUGAAUGCUUACCUUGGCGUUUACUGUGUGGAAUAACAUGUAAAGGCCUUCUUGGUGAAGGUUGUAGAUUCAGGUCCCAUUGGAACCAGUUCUCCAAAGGACCGUGAGGUCGUAAAUGGGGAUCUUCGUGGGGAUUUUAAAGGGUUCUGACAAUUAUUGUUAAACUAAUUGUUGUGUAAAAUGUGAUGAAAAUACCACAUGAGGUUCAUUUCAUCAAAGCUACACUUUAUGCUGCAAUCAGUUGCUUUUGCCUCUCUAUCGCCAUCUCUGUUUAAAACAUUAAAUUGCAGGUUGCUUACCUGGGUUU